rnacentral:rRNA from 1 species
GGUACGGUACACUCAUACAGGGGGAUAACAGUUGGAAACGGCUGCUAAUACCGCAUAAGCGCACAGUACCGCAUGGUACCGUGUGAAAAACUCCGGUGGUAUGAGAUGGACCCGCGUCUGAUUAGCUAGUUGGUGGGGUAACGGCCUACCAAGGCGACGAUCAGUAGCCGACCUGAGAGGGUGACCGGCCACAUUGGGACUGAGACACGGCCCAA